GCCCGGCUGGCGCAAUCGGUAGCGCGUAAGACUUCUACAUCACAGCUUUUCAUGAGAAGCGUUGAAGUCCCAUCUUAAGGUUGCGGGUUCGAAUCCCGCGUCGGGUU